UACGUAGGGUGCGAGCGUUGUCCGGAAUUAUUGGGCGUAAAGGGCUCGUAGGCGGUUUGUCGCGUCGGGAGUGAAAACGCCGUGCUUAACACGGCGCUUGCUUUCGAUACGGGCAGACUAGAGGUAUUCAGGGGAGAACGGAAUUCCUGGUGUAGCGGUGAAAUGCGCAGAUAUCAGGAGGAACACCGGUGGCGAAGGCGGUUCUCUGGGAAUGACCUGGCGCUGAGGAGCGAAAGUGUGGGGAGCGAACAGG
rnacentral:rRNA from 1 species